AUGGAAAAUCAAAGCGCCGCUCGCUUGGGAGAAGAAAGCUUGAACGAAACCCCAAGACCACAAGCUAACUCAACAGCUAUGCUGGAUAACUUGCUUUCUGCACGUACAGCGCACCUGAACAUGGGUCUGUCUCAAACCAGGGAAAGUGACAGUAACUUAAUGAAUCAAUUUUCUCCCGAUUUUGAUGAGAGGUCGUCUUUGAGCUCCUUCAAAUCGAAAAGUCUCAAUCGUUCUGAAUUCUCUAAAUCCUCUUUAGGUAUUGUGAACGUUGAUCAAGUUUCAGAUUAUUACACUGGCUUUCUCACUGAUUUUGAUAAAGAUGAUGAUUCCGUGUCAUCCCAUGGCCGAAAUAGUAGAAAAUCAGAUAUAGAAAAACACCUUAGACAGUGUUUCGAGCGAGACUCUCUCGGACAAAGUUCAACCACCAAUGGGCAGUACAAAGAAAAAACAGUACCAGUAAAGUCAGCGUCAGUCAAUUCUUUUGAUAGCACUUCGGAGAAUACAGCUAACAUCAACAAAAUGAAAAAUAUUUUAAACAGUGUCAACAACUACACGAUGGGAAAUGAUCAGGUUUUGGAAAAUGUCAAUAGUGAUUUCGAUGAAAUAGAAAAUUAUUUUAAAACAUCAUGCAAGACAGCGGAGGAGUUAGAUGCUGUUUUCAAAACCUCUGACAAGGAUGGCAAAAAGAUGGAAGCCUUUUUAAAAGAUCUGCGUCACUGCCAGAAUGGUCAGUCAGAUUUUGAUGAACGCCUAAGCAAAAGCUCCAACUUUGAACCUCUGGAAAAAAGUUCAGUCAAGAAGAACAAUGAUGUCGACAGUAUUUUUGGAUCCCAAAUGGACAGUGCAAGUUUCCAAUCAUUUGGAUUCUCCAGUGAUGAAUUUAAAGCACACAGUAUGAAUUCCAUCAUGCAAGAAUUAGAGGUAGAUGAAAAGCGGGCCAAAAAAAUUGAUACCACAGUCUCUGAUCAAGCUGUAGAUGAAUCGUUGAGUGGUGUAAUGAGUGGCGAUAUAUCGAUCGGACCAGAAAGAUUGUCAAUGCGUGAUUACUUCAUGCAAAAAUGCCACUCAGCAUCGGAACUUGAUAGGAACCGUCCAAUGGAAAAAUGUCACUCCGUGUCUGAUCUCUAUCCAAAGCCUUUGGAGGUUGUCAAAGAGUUGGAUGAAAACCAGCCAUUCCAAGAAGAUGCAAGAAGAAGUAUAUCUGAAGGAAUUCCCAGUGAUGACUCAACGUGCAACUGGAGUAGAAUAAUGAGAGGAUCUUUGUGCAAAAGUAGCUUUGGCGUCGACUUGAAUGCAAGCACAAGCAGUAUUGUCAGCUUGUCUGAAAUUGCGAAAAUUAUCCAAGAACAGCCUAGCUCAGCCACUCCUCGCACAAUAAUUGAUGCUCUCUAUGCAGGAGGUCAUGCCAAACAUUCAAAGUUUGACAGAGAAUCCUUAGGUCGGUCCUACAUAUCAUCACAAAGUGGAAUAUCAAGUAAUCAUAGUCCUCCUGAACGUGACACUGACUCUUCCCACCAAUUACGUUCUGUCAGUGCAUCUUCACUUUUCACCGAUGGAAUUUGUAGCUCUGUGGGUGGCAUUAAAGAAACAUCAAAAGUUGUAGAUGUGAAUCGAAGUUUAAUGGAUAGGAACUCUCUGAAUUCUUGUAAAAGUCUGCCCAAUCCGAAUCCUGUUUCACAGCAAAGUGAGUUCCGGCGCACAUCAUCUGCUCCACCAAUGAAAUCAACUCGCUUGUCUUUGGAUGAUAAAUUUGUAUCUGCUCAUUCAACUCCUAAUGAGUGUAAAUUCAUUCCAAUGCAAGCCCCUAUACUUGAUUCUGAAAAUUCCCUCAUUAGGAACAAGUCUCACCACUGGAGCAACCACAGCUUACAGAAUAAAAACUUACACACUCCAACAGAUUCGAGUGUAAAAGGCAGUGAAUUUGAAUUAGUGUUAACAGAUCCUUCGACAGAUGGUAAAUUUGAAUUAUCCAAUGGUACUGCAAAGUUGGAGUUUUGUAUGGCAGAAUCAGGUCUGACCAAUGCCAAUUUGAGCAGCAGAAAUUUUUCGGCUUUCAGUAACUCGGACAAUGAAUGCGUUUUAGCGCAAACUCCUAGUAGCUCAAGAAGUUCCAAAACAAGAAAUUUUGAUUCCGAUCACUCUAAAACAACCACGGAAACCAGUAGGAACGAAUCAACUCUAACUCCCGGAGGGAUCAAUCAAAAUUUAUCACACAGUAGCAAUACAAGUCAAACGUUGACCGCUCAAAAUCAGAAGGAACAGGGGUUUUACAGAGCCAGAAAUCAUAAUACGUUUGCGUCAAGCUCAAGUAGCCUGGCUGAUCUGAAAAAUAAUAGCAUCGAUACUAUUGAUAUCAAAACGAACGAAGAAUAUCGUCCUAUUGGACCCAUAACUCGUCAUCGACCGAAAGUAGUGACAAGUUCUUCGACUACUAUUGAAAAUCUCAGAGAUGAAGAAUUGCCGAGUAUCAAACCUGAAGUUGACAAUUCAGCGUGCAGAUUUUGGUUGAGUGAUUCUGAAAACUUUGAUCGAGAUGAGCACAAUAAUAGCCUAUCGACUAUAAACUAUACCAUCGAUACGAUGUCAGACUGUAACGACAAUGAAACAUCACAGUUGAGUUCCUUAAGCAGCUCCAUGCUUACAGAAGUCUUGUCGAAUUCAAGUAUUUUAUGUGAUCUUGAUCGGGAAACCUCAAGAAUCAAGUUAAAUCUGGAUGGUGGAGGAACUGCCAAUGUCAACGACCAUAUUGAUGCAGGAAUUCACUGUAUCGGAACACCUGUGGAUGUGGUUGUCCCAGUUUUGAACAAGUCCAAGUAUGAUAUAAUUUGGCAGAUAUCCUAUGAAGUAACUCCGGUCGAUCGCACACAGUCAAGUGUAAACUCAGCACACAUCUGUGUUCCCCACAAAACAUUCAAAGUGCCUUCAAAUCGAAAAUCCAAUGUCCAUUUGAUCAUAAUACCAGUGAUUGCAACAGCCAUUGACGUCACCUUAAAAAUCGAAUCCUUAUUCAAAGUAAAAUCAGGUAUCCGCUCAGUCGAAAGAAGCUCGAUCUCUCAAAUUAUUCGUGUUAUCGGAGAAGAUCCUCAACUCAGUGUUGGUUCAACCUCGGGUGUGAUUUACUUUGGCAAGUUGCCGAACGGCUGCGUCAAAAGUGAAAAUAUCCUCUUGCAAAAUACUGGGCACUCUCGACUGCCAGUGAAGUUUAGCAUUCAGGAACAUGGAAAAGCUGAAGUUUACCAAGGACACACUAUCAUUGAAGCGGGAGAAAAUUGGUCCAACACCAUUAACUUGUUCGCUUUGAAAUCGACGAAUGAGACUUCAGAUUCCCCUGAUUAUGAAUUUAUUCUUGCAGACUUGAAGAUCCGACUGAAUGUUGACUCAAACAUCAUUAACGAAUCGCAAUCAUUGUGCAUCAUUCAGUUAAAAGCACAUGUUCUUCCAGUUCAGCUACUCCAUUCUAGUCGUUGCUCACCGCUCAUCCUGAGGAAAGAGGAAACAUCACAUAUUAGUUCAGAGACGUUAGAUAUAAAAAAUGGAAGUAAAAUUCCUUUGAACAUAUCAGCCAGUGUCAAUAUAGAUGAUGAAAAUCUCAGGUCUUGCUUCGAAGUCAGGCCUAUAACAGUAUCUAUCCCUCCAAAUCAACUUGUUCGUUUUGUAGUCUCUUUCAACACUAAGAAAUGCACCAAACAGAAAAUUUCUGCUGAUAUCCAUCUGCAAGUUGAACCAAAGGGAAUCAUAUUCAGAGCCCCGGUAGAAGUAUUGCUUGCACCUUUAUCAAAUGCUGUAUCUCUAGAGCAACUCAACUUCCCGAAACAGAAAAAUUCUGGCUCAAAUCCUGCCUCUUGCCCACCAUCUCCAACGAGCAGUAUUGCAAGUGCCUUCGGUCAGAUGCAACUUGCAUGUGAUUCCGUGUGUCUAACGUGGCUUAGCGUACCUAUUCACCACCAAAAAGUACAAUCUUGUCUUAUCAAAAAUUGUGGAGCUCACAGAGAGAAAUUACUUUUCCAAAUUUCUGACAAUAACAACUGCUUCAAGCUCCUUAAAAAUGAGAAGGACUCAAGCUUUGCUAAUGAAAUCAAAAUGUCACUUCAGCCAUCCGAAACUAAGAAGUUAUCCGUCGUUUUGUUUCCUUUAACACCUCAAACUCAAGCCUUUGGGCGCAUCACUAUCACUCGCUUCGGCCAAGAUCAUAAUUCUAGCACAGAUUCUAGUGGGCUCCCUACCAAAAGGGUUUUACCCCUUUACGGCUUUUGUGGAGAUUGUGAUAUUAAAUUUAACGGAUUGAACAGAGAUGUUGAAGAUCGAUUGUGGAUAUACCCAGACUCUGAAACGUUCGAAAGUGCCUUCACUACAGAAAACAGUGGUGAUUCAACAGGAUUUAUGAUAAUCGUGCCAGAACAAUUCAGUGGUGAUUACAUUAAGCCUAAUGAAUACAUCCUUGCGCCGAAUGAAUCAACUGUAGUCAAUUUUGCAGUGAAUUUAUCUGCUAUCAGAAUCGAGAAUCUGCUAGAAAAACAAAAGAACAAAGAUAUUGUGCAGGUUGCCAAUUUGACACUGUAUUUUGGCAACGAAUCAACUCGCAAGAGGAUCAAGAGGAUCCUAAUGAAAUGUAAAAAAAAGGGAGUAAAACCUUCACUCGAGUCAGAACAAAAACUUGCCUUACUUGCGGGAUUUUCACCUAAAUGUAGUUUAUCUGUUGAUCAAUUAUAUGAUCCCAUCGAAAGCGUACACCUCCUUUUGGAUGACAUUCAUGUAGAACAAGUUGGAGUUUUGAUGGAACGAUCUGCUCUAGAAUCAGCACUCUUGGACACCUCACCUGUAUUCAAUGAUCUCAAUGCUACCGUGCGAGAAGUUUCCAUCAUGAGCCCUGCAACUUGCCUGAACAUUGUACCACAAAGUUUAACCUUGUCUACAUCUGGCAAAUCUGAAGUUCUAAACAUUUCGAACACUUCCAGUCGUGAUACCUCAUUCCAUGCUGUUUACCCUCCAGAAUUAUCUGUUAAUCCACCGAAGACAAACAUUCAACCUCAUCAACGUGUUCAACUUUCAGUCACUUACAUCGGUCCAAAAUUACAGGGCAAUUAUUGCGAACAAAAAUUAAUUCGAAUCAUAUCCGAUAAGUGUGAGACCAAAAUAUCUGUUGACAUAAAAUCUGAGGAAGAAAAUCAAGAUCUCUUAUCCAACUUGAUCUACUCAAGUGAUUACAACAUUGUUUUCCCUCAAACUGUUACUAACCAUAAAUCAGCUGUGACCAUCAAAGUGUGCAACACUAGUCAGCACGAUGUUUUGUUAACUUUGGCUCAUUGUGAUGAACCUUUCUGUGUUCCGUCAGAGAGCUUCCAUCUCAAAAAGAAGUGGUAUUGUAACUUUAGAAUCCUGUUCCGUCCGCAGACAUCUGGUAUGCACCAUGGUAACGUAAAGUUCAGUGUUUACUACAGAGGUGAGCUAAUCUCAAUUCUUACAUAUGAGUUGAGUGCCAAAGCAGUUAACCCAAAAUAGUUUUUAAGUAGGUAAGGAUAGUUAAUGAUUCUGAUUUCAAGGAAACAGUCUAGAUUAAGGAAAUUCUGUGAUCGUUAAAAAGUUAAGUUUCUUAUUUUUUAUUCAUUUAUUUUUAUUUAAAUUCUUCUUUGAUCGUUUUAUUCCAUGACUGAUUGUGAUACAUUUUCUAAUGAUUUAAAUCUUUUUGUAUCAUUUAAGCACUAUUUAUAAGUUUCUAAUCUGAGGUAAUUUACUGUAAUUUCAUCACAACUUUUAUUUAUCAAUUGUUACAUGUAGUUAAAAAAUAGCAAAUUUUUCUCCUCGAAAAUGAUUUAUCCAUAUGUGAUCAGUAAGCAUUUACUUUUUACAGUCAAAACAAGUUUCUUUCUCUGUUGCAAAAAAGGGAUCUGUUAGUUCCACAUUUUGAAUUUGCUCGGUUUAAUUUUAAGUAAAUUCUAGGGUUGCCACUGUCAGGGAAUUCCGGAAAAACUGGGAAAUGCCAAGACAUUUUACGAAGUCAUAGGAAACUUUGAAAUGUCAAGUAAGAAUUGUUAAGUCAACUUUACUUGCUUUCUAGAAUGGGUUUGAUGUGUUGAGCAAUAGAUUUUGCGUGGAAACUAUUUCAAAUUAUGUCUUUUUAAUCAUCUGGCAUAUUUUCAAUUGUCAGAGAAUUUCGCCAAAAUAUGACAGGGAAACCGGGGAAUUUCAUUUUCAAAAUUCUGUGGCAACCCUACAAUUCAACUGCCAUUAAUCUACCAAUGUAGUUCUUGGAUGCUGCAGAGAUUUGCGCUCUAAGUACAUUCCCCCUGUGUUAAAUUUUGCAAAAAAUAUGAUGAUACUAUUAGGCUUUCUGUGAAAUCAAUGCCUUAGCUCAAGAAAAAGCUCUGGAAGUUGCAGCCUUAAAGGAGAGGAUCGCCCACUAUAUGGCCGGAUUGGACUUUAUUCGGUCGGUCCGAGAGUCCACCUCUGUAUCCAAACAAAAUCUCCAUUCACAGAUAGGAGGUGGAUAUAUUUGCAGUGUUGCCACUUUGUGGAGGGAGUCCAAGGCUGGAACCAAGGGAACUCUGCUAAUGUAUUGCUAUCUAUAUGUGCAAGGAGAGUUUGGCUGUUGUGGACGUAAACUCUUAAGUUAAUGUAGGCGCAUCUCCAUUACAACCUUCACUUGGAGAGCUUUCAGAGAAGUAUCAUGUUUUUUGCGAAAUUGCAUGUAAAAAAAAGUACACUAGUCGUAAAUUCCUGUGGCAUUCAAGAGCUUCGCUAAAAUAAUGCUUGGUAUAAGAUUAAUUCAUUUCUUAUUUCAUCACCUCAAUAAUUUACGAUAGAAAACGAAGUUGUAUGUCAGUUGAGUUUGUUUUAUAUAAUUUAAUCAAAAUCUUUGCAAAAAUCGGUUUCCUUCUAGAAACUCUUUUUUAUCAGUUGGUUCUGCAGAGCGAUUUCUAGAAAAUUUUGUCAGCAACUGGGAUAAUCAAUCUUCUUCUAUCAAUUAAGUACGAUUGUUUUACUGAUAAUUGUGAAAUGUAAACCUACUUAUCAUCAGGAACGACUGUUUAAGUGAUUGAAUCAUUUUUAUCUACUACCCGUAUGGUUCAAAAUAUACCCGGAAAGAUUUUUGUAACUUAAGAUUCCAUUUCUCCGGUAGUACCAUUAAAAUGAAACUUCUUUAUAACCACAGUAAUAAGUAUUGUCUGUUUUAUAUUGAUGACUAUGUGUCUCUCAAUCUAGGGAAGAAGGUAUUAAUGACCAAAUUUGAAAACCAUGUUUCUCCUUUCUCAAAAUUGCAGACCUCUCAUCAAAUUUUACUCACCAAUUUGAACGGAGGGUAUGGAUUCGAUCGACAUGAAUCGAUCGAAAAAUGAAAACGUGAAUCAAUCGACAUGAAUCCAUCGACACCGAUUCGAUCGACAAAUUAUUAAAAAACCCGGUACCGAUUCGAUCGACAUGAAUCGAUCGAAAAAUGAAAACGUGAAUCGAUCGACAUGAAUCCAUCGACACCGAUUCGAUCGACAGUUAAUUCAAAAACACCCGGAUCGAUUCGAUCGACAUGAAUGGAUCGAAAAAUCAAAACGUGAAUCGAUCGACGUGAAUCGAUCGACACCGAUUCGAUCGACAAAAUUCGAUCGACUCACGGAUUUGUCGAUCGACUCACGGGUUUGUCGAUCCAUUCACGGGUUUGUCGAUCGACUCACGGGUUUGUCGAUCGACUCACGGGUCUGUCGAUCCAUUCACGGUCUUGUCGAUCGAUUCACGGGUUUGUCGAUCCAUUCACGGGCUUGUCGAUCGAUUCACGGGGUUUGUCGAUCCAUUCACGGCUUUUGUCGAUCCAUUCACGGUUGUCGAUCGAAUCGGUGUCGAUCGAUUCACGUCGAUCGAUUCACGUUUUGAUUUUUUGAUCCAUUCAUGUCGAUCGAAUCGAUCCGGGUGUUUUUGAAUUAACUGUCGAUCGAAUCGGUGUCGAUCGAUUCAUGUCGAUCGAUUCACGUUUUAAUUUUUCGAUCGAUUCAUGUCGAUCGAAUCCAUACCCUCCAAUUUGAACACUAAGCAAUGUAAGUCUUGUAAAAUUUCCACAAUUGGACUGUGUUAAGCAGAAAGGAACCAAGCCACAAGAGCUAUUGUCAAAUUCGAUUGGGCAAUUUCAUUUUUUACAUGAGAACGGUUGUGCAGAUUUUUGUGUAAAUCUCAGUGAAUUUCCCGCGUAGUGCGCAGCAAAUACCUUAAAAUUUUCAAAGGAAUCGGUAGAAACGUUCUCUUUUAAAAAUUAAAUUGCCCAGUUAAAUUUGGCAAUAGCUGAUGUGGCUUAGUUCCUCUCUGCUAAACAUGGUCCAAUUGCUCUUCCGUGUUGACAGAAUAAUCUAUGAAAUUUUCAAGCAAUAAUGCUCACUUAUUUUCUUUCAAAACGAGGAAAUAUGUAGGUAUAGAAAUUUUGAAUCACACAACCGAUUUGCGAGAGUUCCGAGUUUAGCCAAUCGGAGGUGACUGUGGUGAACCAUAUUUUGAUUUUGGUGAUAUAUGUUUUUAUUAAAAUUCCUAAAAAUUGUCUCUCCAAAAACUUACAGUAUUUAAAAAAAUGCCCAAACAUUAGAUUGGUAAACUUUAUUGAAAUCACUAUUCUUUCAAUUGGUGGUUAAAUUUAGUUGUUUUAUCAUU
rnacentral:lncRNA from 1 species